UCUGCUGCUCCGCAUAUUUUCAUUGUUUUCGUUGUAAAAUGUUAAUGUAAGUUAUCUUAAACUGUUGUAAUGCUGGUGUAGUCACAUAGACACGUGUUAAAAGUGUAUUUUUUUUGUUAUAUUGUCAUGCGUAAAUUUGCUAACUCGAGUGGAGAAGUAUUAUGGUCGUGUGUGUUGCUAGGCUGCUGCGUAGCUUAUAACGCUAGGGUGUACUAUUGAGAAUGAAUGCUCACAGGAGCCAGGUGGUGACUGUGUUCAUGGUGUUACAGACCAGAGAGAGCAAAGAGAGCAUGUAUGAGAAAACACUUGUGAACACCGGUGAAUACUUCUUCUCUAUAAUACAGGUGCACUAAAGAAGAAUGCAGUGACUCAAGGAAUUACCCAGAAAGAUGCGGAGAGGGCCCUCUCCAAGUGGUUCACAGGACCUUGUGAUAGAGGUGGAAACAGAACAGUAAGAGCUCAGAGAGAGCUUGAAAAAAAACUGGAAGAUGGGACACAGUCCCAAGAAGCGGUACAGUCCCAAGAAGGCACAGUCCCAGUAGAUAGUGUUACCUGGUAGUAAUGUGUGUUGUUGUGUUGAAUGUGUAGCGGACACUGGUGGACGCCAGUGACCAGACACCAGAUUUAUGGUAAGGAUACUGGGGUGCUCUGGAGGAUAUGGGGAGCCUCCCAUGUCCACUUUCCCAUCAUCAAACCAUCACAUGGAUAGAAAACAGGGACGAAAUGAGUUCCCCUCACCAAUAGACUAGCUUUUGAAGAUACCAUCGGAAUUUAUGGCUAGCCCAUCGAACUCAUUCUGAACCAACACUCCUGCACCAAAUGGGAGACAAACACAACUCUCCCCCACACACUGACAAUGAAUUCAUGUUUCAUCCCUGACACUCAUCUGGGAUUGAUAGGAGGGUGCUACCUCUUAUCAAAUAACAUGAAAAGGAACAUUUAGCCAUCAAGGUGCUAAACCACCAGGAUUCACACUCCUGACUCAUUUUCUCUCACAAGAGAAAAUAACACUCUCACCUUUAACACCCUUUCUUACCCAAAGGGGGGUCUCACGAGGAACCACAGACCCCCGCCAUAAAACCAUCCUACAUUCCAAGCCGGAUUGAUGAACUAUGAUUGAAAUGUCAUUGAACCAAACGUCCUAUCACCAGGUAAUUCAUGCAGUAUUACUCUGGAAAGAUUUCAAUUAAGUAUGAUCCAAAGUUCAUUUCUGUAGCCCACAUGGAGGCUGAGAUAGGUUUUAUUAGUUCUAAGGUAAAUAUCCACCAUGUUACAAUACUGCCAUCUAAGGACCACUCUGGACCCCUUUUUCCCUUAGGGAAUUAAGGAAUAGACAAACUUAAUGCAUCACUCUGACAUUACUGUUUUAUAUUGUAACUUAGCUAUAUAUUUGUGUGGUUACAAAUUGUUAUCCUUUCAUUGAUCCAUGUAUUCUAUGUGUGCUGUUAAACAUGAUGAUAUUAUUAGUUGUCUUGUAUAUUCCAAACUUUAGCUAGGUAGUUGAUAUAGGCCGUUGUCAAAAUGAAUGGGCCAUGGUGGGAGUAGAAUAUGCAACACUUGCGCGUAAAACCAAAUUAAACAAAUUAACUUAA